GUGGGGAAUAUUGGACAAUGGGCGAAAGCCUGAUCCAGCCAUGCCGCGUGUGUGAAGAAGGUCUUCGGAUUGUAAAGCACUUUAAGUUGGGAGGAAGGGCAUUAACCUAAUACGUUAGUGUUUUGACGUUACCGACAGAAUAAGCACCGGCUAACUUCGUGCCAGCAGCCGCGGUAAUACGAAGGGUGCAAGCGUUAAUCGGAAUUACUGGGCGUAAAGCGCGCGUAGGUGGUUCGUUAAGUUGGAUGUGAAAGCCCCGUGCUCAACCUGGGAACUGCAUCCAAAACUGGCGAGCUAGAGUACGGUAGAGGGUGGUGGAAUUUCCUGUGUAGCGGUGAAAUGCGUAGAUAUAGGAAGGAACACCAGUGGCGAAGGCGACCACCUGGACUGAUACUGACACUGAGGUGCGAAAGCGUGGGGAGCAAACAGGAUUAGAUACCCCGGUAGUCC
rnacentral:rRNA from 1 species